rnacentral:rRNA from 1 species
GACGAACGCUGGCGGCGUGCUUAACACAUGCAAGUCGAACGGAAAGGCCCUGCGUUUGUGGGGUUCUCGAGUGGCGAACGGGUGAGUAACACGUGAGUAACCUGCCCUUGACUUUGGGAUAACUUCAGGAAACUGGGGCUAAUACCGGAUAGGAGCUCCUGCUGCGUGGUGGGGGUUGGAAAGUUUCGGCGGUUGGGGAUGGACUCGCGGCUUAUCAGCUUGUUGGUGGGGUAGUUGCUUACCAAGGCUUUGACGGGUAGCCGGCCUGAGAGGGUGACCGGCCACAUUGGGACUGCGAUACGGACCAGACUCCUACGGGAGGCAGCAGUGGGGAAUCUUGCACAAUGGGCGGAAGCGUGAUGCAGCAACGCCGCGUGCGGGAUGACGGCUUUCGGGUUGUAAACAGCUUUCGACUGUGACGAAGCGUGAGUGACGGUAAUGGGUAAAGAAGCACCGGCUAACUACGUG